rnacentral:rRNA from 1 species
AUUGAACGCUGGCGGCAUGCCUUACACAUGCAAGUCGAACGGUAACAGGUCUUCGGAUGCUGACGAGUGGCGAACGGGUGAGUAAUACAUCGGAACGUGCCCGAUCGUGGGGGAUAACGAAGCGAAAGCUUUGCUAAUACCGCAUACGAUCUACGGAUGAAAGCAGGGGACCGCAAGGCCUUGCGCGAACGGAGCGGCCGAUGGCAGAUUAGGUAGUUGGUGGGAUAAAAGCUUACCAAGCCGACGAUCUGUAGCUGGUCUGAGAGGACGACCAGCCACACUGGGACUGAGACACGGCCCAGACUCCUACGGGAGGCAGCAGUGGGGAAUUUUGGACAAUGGGCGAAAGCCUGAUUCAGCCAUGCCGCGUGCAGGAUGAAGGCCUUCGGGUCGUAAACUGCUUUUGUACGGAACGAAAAGACUCUGGUUAAUACCUGGGGUCCAUGACGGUACCGUAAGAAUAAGCACCGGCUAACUACGUGCCAGCCGCCGCCGUAAUAC